rnacentral:rRNA from 1 species
AACGAACGCUGGCGGCAUGCCUAACACAUGCAAGUCGAACGAGAUCCUUCGGGGUCUAGUGGCGCACGGGUGCGUAACGCGUGGGAAUCUGCCAUUAGGUUCGGAAUUACAGUUAGAAAUGACUGCUAAUACCGGAUCAUGACGUUAAAUCCAAAGAUUGAUAGCCUGAGGAUGAGCCGGUGUUGGAUUAGCUGGUUGGUGUGCUAAAGGCGGACCAAGGAGCCAAUCCUUAGCUUGGAAGAGAGAAAGGUCAGCCACACUGGGACGGAGACACGGCCCAGACUCCUGGAGGAGGCAGCAGAGGGUGAUAUAGGACAACGGGCGCAAGCCAGAACCAGCAAGGGCGCUAAAGUGAUGAAGGCCGUAGAGAAAAGAAGCUCGUUAACCCGAGAUGGUAAUGACAGUAUCGAAAGAAUAAGCCCCGGCUAACUCCGUG